ACCAUGCAGUCGACGGUGAAGCCAAGCUUGCUUGGUGGAUCAGUGGCGAACGGGUGAGUAACACGUGAGCAACCUGCCCUGGACUCUGGGAUAAGCGCUGGAAACGGCGUCUAAUACUGGAUAUGAGCUCCUUCCGCAUGGUGGGGGUUGGAAAGAUUUUUCGGUCUGGGAUGGGCUCGCGGCCUAUCAGCUUGUUGGUGAGGUAAUGGCUCACCAAGGCGUCGACGGGUAGCCGGCCUGAGAGGGUGACCGGCCACACUGGGACUGAGACACGGCCCAGACUCCUACGGGAGGCAGCAGUGGGGAAUAUUGCACAAUGGGCGGAAGCCUGAUGCAGCAACGCCGCGUGAGGGAUGACGGCCUUCGGGUUGUAAACCUCUUUUAGCAGGGAAGAAGCGAAAGUGACGGUACCUGCAGAAAAAGCGCCGGCUAACUACGUGCCAGCAGCCGCGGUAAUACGUAGGGCGCAAGCGUUAUCCGGAAUUAUUGGGCGUAAAGAGCUCGUAGGCGGUUUGUCGCGUCUGCUGUGAAAUCCCGAGGCUCAACCUCGGGCCUGCAGUGGGUACGGGCAGACUAGAGUGCGGUAGGGGAGAUUGGAAUUCCUGGUGUAGCGGUGGAAUGCGCAGAUAUCAGGAGGAACACCGAUGGCGAAGGCAGAUCUCUGGGCCGUAACUGACGCUGAGGAGCGAAAGGGUGGGGAGCAAACAGGCUUAGAUACCCUGGUAGUCCACCCCGUAAACGUUGGGAACUAGUUGUGGGGACCAUUCCACGGUUUCCGUGACGCAGCUAACGCAUUAAGUUCCCCGCCUGGGGAGUACGGCCGCAAGGCUAAAACUCAAAGGAAUUGACGGGGACCCGCACAAGCGGCGGAGCAUGCGGAUUAAUUCGAUGCAACGCGAAGAACCUUACCAAGGCUUGACAUAUACGAGAACGGGCCAGAAAUGGUCAACUCUUUGGACACUCGUAAACAGGUGGUGCAUGGUUGUCGUCAGCUCGUGUCGUGAGAUGUUGGGUUAAGUCCCGCAACGAGCGCAACCCUCGUUCUAUGUUGCCAGCACGUAAUGGUGGGAACUCAUGGGAUACUGCCGGGGUCAACUCGGAGGAAGGUGGGGAUGACGUCAAAUCAUCAUGCCCCUUAUGUCUUGGGCUUCACGCAUGCUACAAUGGCCGGUACAAAGGGCUGCAAUACCGUAAGGUGGAGCGAAUCCCAAAAAGCCGGUCCCAGUUCGGAUUGAGGUCUGCAACUCGACCUCAUGAAGUCGGAGUCGCUAGUAAUCGCAGAUCAGCAACGCUGCGGUGAAUACGUUCCCGGGUCUUGUACACACCGCCCGUCAAGUCAUGAAAGUCGGUAACACCUGAAGCCGGUGGCCCAACCCUUGUGGAGGGAGCCGUCGAAGUGAUC
rnacentral:rRNA from 1 species